rnacentral:ncRNA from 2 species
AUGAAGGUAGCAGGAGAGUGGGGAAUAGCCCCCACACCGACGAGGCAAGUUUAGCUAAUUGAAACAUGGCUGAACCACUCUUUCAGGUGCCAAUUACGAUUGGCGUGGA